rnacentral:tRNA from 1 species
GCAUCGGUGAUUCAGUGGUAGAAUGCUCGCCUGCCAUGCGGGCGGCCCGGGUUCGAUUCCCGGCCGGUGCA